CAGCAGCCGCGGUAAUACGUAGGUGGCAAGCGUUGUCCGGAAUUAUUGGGCGUAAAGGGCUCGCAGGCGGUUCCUUAAGUCUGAUGUGAAAGCCCCCGGCUCAACCGGGGAGGGUCACUGGAAACUGGGAAACUUGAGUGCAGAAGAGGAGAGUGGAAUUCCACGUGUAGCGGUGAAAUGCGUAGAGAUGUGGAGGAACACCAGUGGCGAAGGCGACUCUCUGGUCUAUAACUGACGCUGAGGAGCGAAAGCGUGGGGAGCGAACAGGAUUAGAUACCCCAGUAGUCCCUGUCUCUUAUAC
rnacentral:rRNA from 1 species